AGAAAGCUCACAUAUCUUGUUUAAUUUUUCAGGAAGUAAGUUUCUCUUUAAUUCGGUUAAGCUAUGUUCCUUCGUCGCAGAGCUAGAAAGAAAAUUUUCAUAGACCAAUAAAUAUUUUGCUAUGUAUCUAGAUGUAUAAAAAUCUAUGUAUAUCUAUUAGUUAGUGACUCCGCAGUUGUAGAAUUUGUAUACAAUUAGUCGUGUAUUAACAUA
rnacentral:lncRNA from 1 species